rnacentral:rRNA from 1 species
GACGAACGCUGGCGGCGUGCUUAACACAUGCAAGUCGAACGGAAAGGCCCUGCUUUUGUGGGGUGCUCGAGUGGCGAACGGGUGAGUAACACGUGAGUAACCUGCCCUUGACUUUGGGAUAACUUCAGGAAACUGGGGCUAAUACAGGAUAGGAGAUCCUGCUGCAUGGUGGGGGUUGGAAAGUUUCGGCGGUUGGGGAUGGACUGGCGGCUUAUCAGCUUGUUGGUGGGGUAGUGGCUUACCAAGGCUUUGACGGGUAGCCGGCCUGAGAGGGUGAACGGCGACAUUGGGACUGAGAGACGGCGCAGACUCCUACGGGAGGCAGCAGUGGGGAAUAUUGCACAAUGGGCGGAAGCCUGAUGCAGCAACGCCGCGUGCGGGAUGACGGCCUUCGGGUUGUAAACCGCUUUCGCCUGUGACGAAGCGGGAGUGACGGUAAUGGGUAAAGAAGCACCGGCUAACUACGUG